GGAUGUGAGGGCAAUCUGGCUGCAACAUCUAUCACCCUAUUGAUCUCCAUGGUUGAUUCAACUGAUCUGGAUGGCUAGGCGGGUGCCCCCUUCCUCCCUUACCACUCCAUGUGCGUCCCUCCUGAAGCUGCGCACUUGGUGGAAGAGGAUGGCCUUCCCCAAAUACAGACGGACCAGUCUUCGGUCGAGGGUAUAAGAGUAGCUAUGCUCUCCUGCUAGAACCUCCAAACAAGUUCUCAAGAAAGACAAGCUACUUGCUCAUCCCAACUCAAAAAAUACAUACCACAAGUUUGCAUAUCUUG
rnacentral:snRNA from 1 species